rnacentral:rRNA from 1 species
CUACGGGCUGCUGCAGUGGGGAAUAUUGCACAAUGGAGGAAACUCUGAUGCAGCAACGCCGCGUGGAGGAUGACACUUUUCGGAGCGUAAACUCCUUUUAUAUAGGAAGAAGAUGACGGUACUAUAUGAAUAAGCGCCGGCUAACUCCGUGCCAGCAGCCGCGGUAAUACGGAGGGCGCAAGCGUUACUCGGAAUCACUGGGCGUAAAGAGCGUGUAGGCGGAUUAAAAAGUCAGAAGUGAAAUCCUAUAGCUUAACUAUAGAACUGCUUCUGAAACUCUUAAUCUAGAAUAUGGGAGAGGUAGAUGGAAUUUCUGGUGUAGGGGUAAAAUCCGUAGAGAUCAGAAGGAAUACCGAUUGCGAAGGCGAUCUACUAGAACAUUAUUGACGCUGAGACGCGAAGGCGUGGGGAGCAAACAGGAUUAGAUACCCCUGUAGUC